rnacentral:misc_RNA from 1 species
GCUUCUCCACACCCAUAACAAUCCCGUCCUUGCACUUGAUUCCAAUAACAGUACCGCUGUUAUCGACGGCUUUGGCAGCAUAUUCGAUCUGGAAAACGCGGCCAUCGGGAGAAAAAAGUGGUGACUGAGAGAUCGUAACCUGUUCCUAUGCUGCUCAUAUUUUUAACUUUCGCUUUGCUUCUGCUUGAUUUGUGUUAGGUCCUUUAGCUUCUGAAUAGAAAUAGAGCUCGACUAGUUUUCUUCGAUCCCAAGACAGACAAAGGAAAGAAAGACACUGAUUAGUACAACUAAGGUGGA